UACGACCACUAGGGGAGCCUUCGGCUGAGAAUGAACAAUCUGUUCUAGACCCUUUGAACCUGUUAGUUAAUGCUUGCGUAGGGAUGUGGCUUGAUCGUUUA
rnacentral:ncRNA from 2 species